UAAGAAGUGUCCUCACCUCUUCAUAGGAAGCAGCUGCUCCUUUUCUGGGCAGUGAAAACAACCAGAGACUGACCCCAUCAAAUUAUAAUGACUAGAGGAGGCCUCUUGAAUCAUUCUCGCCUGUGUCUGCUCUGGAGAGCUCCCUUCUCUAGUGUUAAAGACGGCGUUAACAAACAUACGGGGACACGUGACACGUCGGAAGGCCAUGGCUCUGCUAGCUAGGAUCUCAAGAACUAUAUUGGAUAAAUAUGGAGAGAGUGGACAACCUUGUCUUGUUCCUGAUUUCAGUGGGAUC